AGAGAACUUGCUGCAGUGGUUGCCUGUCUCCUCUUCCAGCUUCAAGUUUGCAGUUGCUGUUAAUUAGUGUAACUUCACCUGAAACAAUGUGAAGCUGUUUCCAUCAAUCUGAGGAUAUAGACCAAGCUCCUGUCUUCAAAUUGCAACAAAGCCCUGUAACAGAUCUCAGAUACAGAAAACCUAGGAAAGCAGCUUUCUGAAAGUCAAGGAUACUCCACAAAUUCCACAGGAGACUUGGUAAGUUGCUCAAGCCCUUUGGUUUCCACAAAGGAAGACAUUUCAAAACUUUUGUUGCGUUCUGCAAUUUUAAAGGGGGGAGAAAAACAGUGACAUAUUAGAGCAUGAAAUCGUAUGCAAUAUAUGAACUAGUUUAGUUUCAGUCCUCUUACCAACUGUUCACCAGUUCACUUCACCUUAAUCUCAAAGAAUUUACAUAUUCAAUCAUUUGUGGACAGCUGUAAGCUCGCUCUGCAUAUACUCAAAGGCACCAUCCAAACACACUAGCAUUGCCCAAAUGAAGAGCACCUGUACUGCC
rnacentral:lncRNA from 1 species